UUUGCCUGACACGCUCCAACGGGCGCUAAGGAAUAAGAAACCACAGAGCAAUAAGCUGCGCCUUUCCUUAUUUUAUCCACCAUCUCCACACAUUCUGCUAAUCUGCAUGAUACUAACCAGAUACUGUACGCUAUUGAAUUUGCUAAAUUAUACGGUUAAUUUGUUCCUAUCAGACUGUUACAUUGUUGGCUCAGCUGAGCACUGUGUAAAUAUGUAGGCCACUUUGCGAAGGCACAUCUGAGGGAAGCGCCGACAAAAUCAAAUAACCAGACCCGUUCUCGAAGUCUGAAGGCCAUUUAGGCAAAUUCAAAAGGAUUGGUCAAACACGAUCUAACAAAUCGCUUUUGAAAUGAAUGUUUUUUUUUUUUUUUUUUUUUAAAUCCUGAAAUAAUUCUUACAAGUAGCUGACCAAAGGACAGGGGCUGGUGUCCGUUUUUUCUUCCUUUCAUGCCGUGUCAAGGCUAAGCAACGAGUCUUUUUCGUUCAUAACGCGUUGCGGCUUAAAAGGUUUCACAGCAGAAACUGUACUGACAUAAUGAGACCGUGUGCAGAAAUGACAAAUACAACAUCGGUGAAGGGCAAACGGAAUCCUUCACGUAGCCUCAAGUGCUUUGGUAAGAUCAGACUCGAGCUCUCUGCAGAAGUCCAGGCUCCUUUAGCCGGGCCCAACGUGCAAUCAGGACAACUGGGAGCCCCCAGCCAGCCUCAUCAGUGUCAAAACAGGGUCGCAGAUGACUCACAGCUCCCAGCAUGCCUCGCUGCCGCUCCCGUCCUGAGCUGAGAAAGAAGCCCCUGGUGGAGCAAAGUCAACGAGUCAACAAGUCCCUGUCUUCACUCCGGCACGUGCGAGGAGCUGAUUGCCUUGUAGAAGUUUGGACUCAAUUCCAACCAACGCUAACACUACUUGCACUUCCAGAGAGAGAAGUCACCAGAUCGGCAUUCAGAAGCUUCAAUUUGCAGAGAGAGCUUGUUUUGAGGAGUAUGAUUACCCAAUAAAAAA